rnacentral:rRNA from 1 species
GACGAACGCUGGCAGAAUGCUUAACACAUGCAAGUCAACUGUGGCGGACGGGUGAGUAACGCGUAAAGAACUUGCCUCACAGAUAGGGACAACAUUUGGAAACGAAUGCUAAUACCUGAUACUGUCAGAGAGCUUUGCGUCCCAUUAGCCAGUUGGAGAGGUAACGGCUCACCAAGGCGCUGAUGGGUAGCCGGCCUGAGAGGGUGAUCGGGAACAAGGGGACUGAGACACGGCCCUUACACCUACGGGAGGCAGCAGUGGGGAAUAUUGGACAAUGGACCAAAGUCUGAUCCAGCAAUUCUGUGUGCACGAUGAAGUUUUCGGAAUGUAAAGUGCUGUCAGUUGAGAAGCGGUACCAUCAGAAGAAGUGACGGCUAAAUACGUGCCAGCAGCCGCGGUAAUAC